rnacentral:sRNA from 1 species
GCUGGGUGUGGUGGCUCAUGUUUGUAAUCCCAGCUUCAUGGGAGGCUGAGGCAGGAGGAUCGCAAAUCCAGGCCAGCCUUGGCAACUGAGUGAGAUCCUGUCUCAA